CCGGGGGGGGGAGAAGGUGUGAGCAGGAGAGGCAACGUGGGGGCUCUGACGGGCAGGAGCAGCCCUGUUCAGAGCCCUCCCAAUGCCCCGAGCAACAUCUGGUAGCACGGGGGGACGGCAGCCUGCUCGCUGGCAUGGGGAGCUGCUCCUUAAUUGCUGUGGCGUUGUGCAAAUGCGGUGGGAAUUUCACAGAGGACAUAACGUAUUCUAAAAUGAUUGUUUUUAUUCCUUGGGAUGCGUUAUGGAGGCCUUUCAUCCUUCUCUGAAGCACAGGAUGAAGUAUGGGUCACUUCUGGAAUAAAGUAGUAAGACUUGUGAUCCUGUCGUCCACUACAUCUAAUAUGGCAAAUUCUGUGUUGCCAUGAAAGCCGUUGUCCUUUUUGGGACUAAAUGACUUGGUGGGGUUGCUUUAAACGUAGAGCUACACCUAUUUGAUACUGGUUUGGAUGAAAGAACAAGAUCUUUCACUCUCCUUAUGGUGGAGUGCCAGCAAGGUUUAAAAUUAAUAUCCACAAACAUUAGAGAGGGAAGGAAAUGAAAGAAACAUUUCUUCCCCAGAACCAGCCCUGCUUUCCUGCCUUUUCCAUAACUGCAUAGAUGUCUGUCAUAUUUGGCACCAGAAAACAUUAAAAAGUUUUUAAAUACCA